rnacentral:rRNA from 1 species
UCCAGCAGCCAUAUCAUCCUGCAACUCACAACUGGCAACCCACUAAGUGUGAGGUGUGAGCCUGGUCAGUACCUGGAUGGGAGACCUCCUGGGAAAAACUAAGGUUGCUGCCGGAA